rnacentral:tRNA from 1 species
AGGAGCUUAGGAUAAAUAGACCACUGGCCUUCAAAGCCACUAGUGAAAGUGAAAAUCUUUCCGCCCCUG